rnacentral:tRNA from 3 species
CGGGCUGUGGCGCAGUUUGGUAGCGCACCUGCUUUGGGAGCAGGGGGCCGCGGGUUCAAAUCCCGCCAGCCCGAC